CCUAAGCGUAAAUAAGCUGAGCAGCGACGUCACCGCCGGUGUCUGUCUCCAGUUUCGGCUCUGUGGCUGUUCUGGUUUUGUGACCUCGGUGGAGAUCCGGCAGGAGGAGACAGACCCGUGAAAACAAGGUUAAAGCCGAGUCACACCAAGGCGGCCACAGGAUGACCCGCUAGACUUUGGAACCUGUUUAUGAUUACGUCGGAAAGUAAAGCAAGCCUCCGCCGCGCCCCCUCCGAGGAGCGCGUUAAAACUCCGAGUCAAAAAGAAGCUUGGGUGGUUUUUCCAAAAUGAACCAACCGGAGGAAGAGUCACAGUGAGCAGGCAGGAACCUUAAAAUGACCCUCCCCCACCCCCAAAUCCAGUGGUUUGCAGAAUGCUCGGUAAAAGCACACACGGGCAUCAGCGCAGGAGGCGGUUGCACGACUAAUAUCCAGGGGGAACCCACCGGCUGGGAAGCCCCUCGGCAAACCGCCCGGGGCGCAGCGCUUUCCGGGGCCUGGCUGGUGGUGACUCAGCUGCUGAGUCCGGGUGCGGGACUCACGGGGUGCGGGAGGGGGCCGCCGGCUGGAAGGCCGCCUCUCUCUGGGCUUUAAAGGGGUGUUUGUGGCUGGGAUUGGUGGCUCACAUCCGCCGGGGACUCGGGAGAGGAGGGAGGACAGAUGCAGGGAGGAGGAGCCGGACGGAGUGAGUGGCAGGAGCCGGGUCGGGACCCGGCGGUGGCUGCCUCGUCGUUUUGUUUGCUAACUUGGACAGUGGCUUCGGGGGGCCACCCCACGGAACCCGCCUCGGGUCCGCUAAGCCCAACCCACGGCAGCACGAGGCCAAAACGUUCCUUCCCGGCGGUUAUCCGCGGCCACGCGGUGUCUCUCGUUAUGUACACAAAGGUAGUUUUUCUUUUCUCCCAAGUCAGCCUGGCUAAUGAAUGCGAUUCUCCGGCAGCGCUGUCGGAAACCCGGUUUACGGUUUGAAAACAAACUUUACCGGGCGGGCGGGAGCCGGUAGAGAGUAGAAGCUUCUUUCAAACUAGGACGAGAGGAAGACGCAGAAUUAAAACUCACCGUGACGCGAAGGCCAGCUGGACCCCGCCAAUGCACACCUUCUGCUCGUGUAAAUCAUUUCGAGGCAGUUAGGAAGCCGGAGCGCGCUGGCCGGAUUCUGAGAUCAGCUGAAGCCCUGCGGCGCCCCUCCCCCACCCCACCCCUACCCCACCCCCACUCCACCCCUGAGGCCGGAGCCAGGCUCGUUAGGAGCUUUGCGUUCCGGCAGGACUGUGCGCCGGGUCUUUACAACUCCAGAAAAGGGAAACGGCCCCCCCAGCGCGAGCUCUUAACAUCCGCAAUAUUUUUUAUCCGCUGUCUGCACGGCGGAAAAACAAGCUUCAGUUCUGGCUGUGUCAGGGCGUCUCCGUGUAACUGAUUCCAGUGACUUCGGGUUCUGGGAAUAAGAUGUGUACCACAACUGGAAAGGACAUUCGAUCUUAUGAAAUCACCAUUAUGUGUAUGCUACAUCAUUGACUAUAUGGCCAAUGACUGUGUGCACACACAGAGACACCGUAAAAACAACACAAAGCCAUAAAUAGUUUUUCAUAAAACUAUUAGGGACCACUGCCUCUGGAGGUGACAGAUCAGAGGCUGGAGCAGGGCCAACACAUCCCAUCAUGUCGCUAGAACAACUGAGCAGUGAUCUGUCAUAGAUUGCACAUCAUACCAGUCUUUACUAGGCAGCUCAGGCCCAGGAUGGUGUGGGAAUUCACUAAGUAACCCAGAUGUUUGACCCUGAACUUCUGCCUCCUGCCUGAGCCUGCAGAGUGCUGGGGUUACAGGCAUGGAAGCCUUCACUGAAGCUGGUCGACUCACUGGUGGGCACAUAGCUGAAGGCAGUGACUGACUGUUCCUGCCCCAGCAGCAUCCAGCACCAAAAGUUCCUAAACUGGUUUCCUUGUCCUCUUCAACCAUUCUUAGAAGUUCUUCUUAUCAUCUGGUGGGCAGUCCAACUGAGAAACUUGCUCCUGGGAUACAGGUUCUUCCUCUGGCUGGCCCAGGCUUCACAGUCCUCCUAAGGUCUGCUUAAGGUGUCCCUAUUGACUGAAAUCCCAGCCCACUGCUGAUAUCCACGCAAUAAUAGUGCAAUAGUUCAUGACAUCCAGCCUUGAGCCUUCUAGGGAAACUCUAGUGCCCUGGUGUCCAUUGUCUCAGCAGAUCACAGAGGGAGGGGCACAUGUCUCCCUUCAGAACAACCUAUGAUGGAUGGAAUUACAGUUUAUUGGUGAUGCCUACAACCCCUCCUUCGGGAUUGAGGAAGUUUAACCUCAAAUUGUGAUCCGUUUGGCUCCUGCAGACGCCCAUCCAUCAGAGGCUAUCUGGGAGUUCCCAGCCACCAGUGAAUGACAGUCAUUCAUUUAAUCAUUAGCAUGAAAAAAAAUGCUUAUCCUUUGGAUGGUUCAAGGUUUUUUGUUUUCUUGUUUUUGUUUAUUUUGCUCUUGUAGUUGUAUGUCAGGAAAUGAAGGCCAGAUGACCAUUUCACUAUAUCACUAAAGAGAAAUGUGGCUCACAGAUGUAGAAAUGAGAAUAACCCCCUUACCAUUGACCUUAUUUCCUGGCCCAGAUCCUGUAAGACCAGGCCAAGCUUCCAGUCCCCAUGCAGUAAAAUUUUACAUUACCAUUCACUGCCAUAUUACGAUUACUGAUCUCUUAUGAUAAAAUGAAUGGGGUUGGGGGUGGAGCAACAGAACUUGAUGCUCUUAUACAGGAGCAGAGUCAGAUGAUACGCAGCUAUCUGCAAUUCCAGCUGCCGGGGACUUGGACACCCUCUUCUGGCCUCCAUAGGCACUAUGCAAACUCACAAGCCUGUGCACACACACACACUUUUUAGUCUGGGGAAUAUAGUUCAGUGGUAAUU